rnacentral:lncRNA from 11 species
AAAGAAUGUAUGCUGCGGUGUUGUUGAAGAGCAAAUCUUGUCACUCUGAUACCUGAUGUCUGAGCUUGCACUGCCCCUACAAGGCACUAAAGAGGAAAUACUAGAAGGUAGCGCCACACCAAGUUUCCCAUGACUGGUUGCUAUAUAUGAUGGAGGAAAUUAUUUUGCUACAAAGGACUACAAACUUAAGGUAAGCUAGUUGGUAAGCUGAAAAGUGAUAGGAACAAUUGAACCAAUAUAUCUGUCUUAAAGUCU